rnacentral:rRNA from 1 species
AGUGAACGCUGGCGGCGUGCUUAACACAUGCAAGUCGAACGAGAACGGAAUAUAGCUUGCUAUAUUUGUCAGCUAAGUGGCGCACGGGUGAGUAAUGUAUAGAUAACCUGCCCUUAAGAAAGGAAUAACAGUUGGAAACGACUGCUAAUGCCCUAUAUGCCUUUAAUACAUAAGUAUGCAAGGGAAACGCUUUAGUGCUUAAGGAUGGGUCUGUAUGGUAUCAGCUUGUUGGUGAGGUAAUGGCUCACCAAGGCUAUGACGCCUAACUGGUUUGAGAGGAUGAUCAGUCACACUGGAACUGAGACACGGUCCAGACUCCUACGGGAGGCAGCAGUGGGGAAUAUUGCACAAUGGACGAAAGUCUGAUGCAGCAACGCCGCGUGGAGGAUGACACAUUUCGGUGCGUAAACUCCUUUUAUAUAGGAAGAUAAUGACGGUACUAUAUGAAUAAGCACCGGCUAACUCCGUGCCAGCAGCCGCAGUAAAAC